ACGGCGCGGUUUGCUACUUCGAUGUCGGCUCUUCCUAUCCUGGCGGUGCAGAAGCUGCCAAGGGUGGGGGUGUUCACCCAUUAAAAGGGAUCGUGAGCUGGGUUCAGAACGCUGUGAGGCAGUUUGUUUGAUAUCUACUGGAAAUGUUGGGUGUCUGAAAGGAAGGAACUUUUAGUACGAGAGGAACGAAGGUUCGUGGCCACUGGUCGACCUGUUGUCUGACAAGGCACGCAGGGCAGCUACGCCACAAAUGAUAAGUGCUGAAUGCAUCUAAGCACGAAGCAUACCUUGAAAAGAGACACCUUAGGACAUCGCUAAAAGAGCGGUUUGAUAGAAGCGAUGUGUAAGUACCAAGGCAACGAGGUAUUAAGCAUGCGCUUACUAACGUCCACAAUUUUUGUGUU
rnacentral:rRNA from 1 species